CACCGCGGACGGCACGGCCCGGGACGUCUUCUGCUUCUCCUCAUUCUCUGAAAGUGGGAAACUAGGGAAAAUGGAAGGUGCAGUGGCUGGAGGCUAAAGCAAGAAGUGAAGAUGGAAGGCCACUCAAAAUCUAGGUCCCUGUCCAGCAUUGUUUCUGACCAAGGAACACACUUCACCACAAGUGGGCCGAUGUUCACAGAAUUCACUGGUCUUACGAUGUUUUCCAUCACUGUGAAGCAGUUGGUUUGAUAUGAUGCUGGAAUGACCUCUUAAAGACACGGUCACAACAUCAACUAGGUGAGUACCUUGCAGGUUUGGGAAAACAUCAUCCAGGAGUCUGUAUAUACUUUAAAUUAGUGUUCAUUAUAUGGUGCUAUUUCUCCCAUAGCCAGGGUUCAUGGGUCCAGGAAUCAACAGAUGGAAAUUGGAUUGGCUCUGAACAACAUUACUGUUAGUGAUCCAGUAGCAAGAUUUUUGCCUUCUACCUCUAUGAUCUGAAGCUCUGUUGGUCAAAAAAUCUUAGUUCCUAAAGAGGAGUGCUUCAACCAGGAUACACAACAAUGAAUCUAUUAACUAGAGGCAGAGACUGCCACUCGGCCACUUUGGGCUCCUCAUGCAUCUGAAUCAACAGGCAAAUAAAGAAGUUAUUGUAUUGAUUGGGGUGAUUGAUCCUGAUUACCAAAGGGAAAUUGAGUUGCGACUGCACUGAGAUAAGGAAGAGUAUGUUUGGAAUACAGAAAAUCCUUUAGGGGGUCUCUUAAUGCUACCAGACCCUGUGAUUAAAGUCAAUGGAAAACCUCAAAAAUCCCAUUCAGGCAGGACUGCUAAUGGCCCCAGCCCUUCAGAAAUUGGUGUUUGGGACACCCUACCAGGCACAAUACCAUGACCAGUUGUGGUACUUGCUGAGAGCAAAGGGAACAUGGAAUGGGUAGUGGAAGAAGGUCAUUAUAAACCAAGGCACGUGUUGCUGAAAUAAGAACUUCUCCUUAUUUCUUCCUUAUAUUGUUAUUUGAGUAUGAGUAUUUAUGAGUCUUUCUUUCUUAUUUUGUUAUGAAAAUGUGUGUAUAAUAACCAAAUAUUUUUAUUUUCUGUCCUUUUUUAUUCCCUCAUCAUCCAACAUAAGAUGCAUUAAUAAUAUUUCACUUUAGAUCCCAGUAUUUAAAAUACUGGUUAUCAAGGAGAAAAGUGAACAUCACCCAAGGACUUUGCAUCCUCUUUUGUGGAAAGUAUUUCAGUUGUAUGGAAGACAGGUGCAUCAUGUUGGUGGAAAUAAGACUUUGUUAUUUUCUUUAUUUGGAGAUUAAGUAUGGUUUGAGGAGAUUUGUAUGGAUGACAAGUUGAAAUGAGGUGGACCAUGAUGAUCAGUUUAGUGUCAACUUAGGCUGUAGUCCCCAGUUAUUCAAUCAAACACCAAUAUGCAUGCUGCUGUGAAGAUAAUUUGUAGAAGUGAUUAAAAUUCAUAAUAAAAUGACUUUAAGUAAAGGAGGUUACCUAGGUAAUCUGGAUGGGCCUGAAUCAAUCAGUUGAAAAAUGUUGAUCUCGGAACUGAGACUUCCCUGAAAAAAAAGAGAAAUUCUGCCUGUGGAUAGCAGCUUCAGGUGAUGCCUGGGAGUUUCAGCCUGCUCUUUCUGGGGCCCUGCCCUAGGGAUUUUGCACUUGCCUUACCAGCCUCCACAAUCAUGUAAUCAAUUUCUUGCAACAAAACAGUCUCUCUCUCCUCUCUCUUUCUCUCUUUCUCUCUCUCUUCCUCUCUUCCCCCCUUCCUCCCUCCCUUUCUCUCUAUAUUCUCUUUCUAGGAUUGAACUAUAACUGAUACAACUCUUACCAAAAAUAAAGUAAAUUAAACUACCUUAUUUACCUUGGAG